AUGAACGCUAGCUACAGGCUUAACACAUGCAAGUCGAGGGGCAGCAUGGUCUUAGCUUGCUAAGGCCGAUGGCGACCGGCGCACGGGUGAGUAACACGUAUCCAACCUGCCGUCUACUCUUGGACAGCCUUCUGAAAGGAAGAUUAAUACAAGAUGGCAUCAUGAGUCCGCAUGUUCACAUGAUUAAAGGUAUUCCGGUAGACGAUGGGGAUGCGUUCCAUUAGAUAGUAGGCGGGGUAACGGCCCACCUAGUCUUCGAUGGAUAGGGGUUCUGAGAGGAAGGUCCCCCACAUUGGAACUGAGACACGGUCCAAACUCCUACGGGAGGCAGCAGUGAGGAAUAUUGGUCAAUGGGCGAGAGCCUGAACCAGCCAAGUAGCGUGAAGGAUGACUGCCCUAUGGGUUGUAAACUUCUUUUAUAAAGGAAUAAAGUCGGGUAUGGAUACCCGUUUGCAUGUACUUUAUGAAUAAGGAUCGGCUAACUCCGUGCCAGCAGCCGCGGUAAUACGGAGGAUCCGAGCGUUAUCCGGAUUUAUUGGGUUUAAAGGGAGCGUAGAUGGAUGUUUAAGUCAGUUGUGAAAGUUUGCGGCUCAACCGUAAAAUUGCAGUUGAUACUGGAUAUCUUGAGUGCAGUUGAGGCAGGCGGAAUUCGUGGUGUAGCGGUGAAAUGCUUAGAUAUCACGAAGAACUCCGAUUGCGAAGGCAGCCUGCUAAGCUGCAACUGACAUUGAGGCUCGAAAGUGUGGGUAUCAAACAGGAUUAGAUACCCUGGUAGUCCACGCCGUAAACGAUGAAUGCUAGGUGUUGGGGAGCAAAGCUCUUCGGUGCCGCCGCAAACGCAUUAAGCAUUCCACCUGGGGAGUACGUUCGCAAGAAUGAAACUCAAAGGAAUUGACGGGGGCCCGCACAAGCGGAGGAACAUGUGGUUUAAUUCGAUGAUACGCGAGGAACCUUACCCGGGCUUAAAUUGCAGAUGAAUUACGGUGAAAGCCGUAAGCCGCAAGGCAUCUGUGAAGGUGCUGCAUGGUUGUCGUCAGCUCGUGCCGUGAGGUGUCGGCUUAAGUGCCAUAACGAGCGCAACCCUUGUUGUCAGUUACUAACAGGUUCCGCUGAGGACUCUGACAAGACUGCCAUCGUAAGAUGUGAGGAAGGUGGGGAUGACGUCAAAUCAGCACGGCCCUUACGUCCGGGGCUACACACGUGUUACAAUGGGGGGUACAGAGGGCCGCUACCACGCGAGUGGAUGCCAAUCCCCAAAACCUCUCUCAGUUCGGACUGGAGUCUGCAACCCGACUCCACGAAGCUGGAUUCGCUAGUAAUCGCGCAUCAGCCACGGCGCGGUGAAUACGUUCCCGGGCCUUGUACACACCGCCCGUCAAGCCAUGGGAGCCGGGGGUACCUGAAGUGCGUAACCGCGAGGAGCGCCCUAGGGUAAAACUGGUGACUGGGGCU
rnacentral:rRNA from 1 species